rnacentral:lncRNA from 1 species
GGUACAAGUAGCAUACCUUGUGAAGCAGGGGGAGCUCUCAGUGCAUCAGAAUCGAUGCCCUUCGAAUAUGGGUCCCUAGAAGGAUAUACAAAACGCCAAUUACAAAAUACAAAAGGCCAAUUACAAAGUAAAAACCGCCAAAAGUUACUAUUAAAAACAAUCAGGAGACCAAUAAGGAAUUUUACUUUUACUACUUUCACUUGGCUUUAUUCUGAGGAAUAAUAAUAACAGCCCAGACAUGGAUGCACACAGAGAGAAUCAAACUCACAUGGAUGUACACAGAGAGAACCAAACUCAAAAUAUAAAGAUACAACAAUAUAAUUCCAUCAGCCUUUGACUGAAACAUCCUCAUUACCUUAUUUAAAUUAUCACAACUGAAAGGGUGUAUAUUAUUAAUAUCCUCCACAUACUCCACUUUUCCUUGAAGACAAAAAUAAUACAUUUGAACAUGCAUGUUACUAUUAUUUACAGAUAAAAUCAAUUGUAAU